AUGAACGCUGGCGGCGUGCCUAAUACAUGCAAGUCGAGCGAACGGACGAGAAGCUUGCUUUUCUGAUGUUAGCGGCGGACGGUUGAGUAACACGUGGAUAACCUACCUAUAAGACUGGGAUAACUUCGGGAAACCGGAGCUAAUACCGGAUAAUAUUUUGAACCGCAUGGUUCAAAAGUGAAAGACGGUCUUGCUGUCACUUAUAGAUGGAUCCGCGCUGCAUUAGCUAGUUGGUAAGGUAACGGCUUACCAAGGCAACGAUGCAUAGCCGACCUGAGAGGGUGAUCGGCCACACUGGAACUGAGACACGGUCCAGACUCCUACGGGAGGCAGCAGUAGGGAAUCUUCCGCAAUGGGCGAAAGCCUGACGGAGCAACGCCGCGUGAGUGAUGAAGGUCUUCGGAUCGUAAAACUCUGUUAUUAGGGAAGAACAUAUGUGUAAGUAACUGUGCACAUCUUGACGGUACCUAAUCAGAAAGCCACGGCUAACUACGUG
rnacentral:rRNA from 1 species